rnacentral:rRNA from 1 species
UGUGUAGGCGGGACGGCAAGUCAGAUGUGAAAAUUAUGGGCUCAACCCAUAACCUGCAUUUGAAACUGUUGUUCUUGAGAGUCGGAGAGGUAGAUGGAAUUCCCGGUGUAGCGGUGAAAUGCGUAGAGAUCUGGAGGAAUACCGAUUGCGAAGGCAGCCCCCUGGACAGUGACUGACGCUCAUAUGCGAAAGCGUGGGGAGCAAACAGGAUUAGAUACCCGUGUA